rnacentral:rRNA from 1 species
UACAGAGGGGGCAAGCGUUGUUCGGAAUUACUGGGCGUAAAGGGCUCGUAGGUGGCCAACUAAGUCAGACGUGAAAUCCCUCGGCUCAACCGGGGAACUGCGUCUGAUACUGGAUGGCUUGAAUCCGGGAGAGGGAUGCGGAAUUCCAGGUGUAGCGGUGAAAUGCGUAGAUAUCUGGAGGAACACCGGUGGCGAAGGCGGGUCUCUGGGCCGUAACUGACGCUGAGGAGCGAAAGCGUGGGGAGCGAACAGG